rnacentral:rRNA from 1 species
AGAGUUUGAUCCUGGCUCAGAGUGAACGCUGGCGGUAGGCCUAACACAUGCAAGUCGAACGGCAGCACAGGAGAGCUUGCUCUCUGGGUGGCGAGUGGCGGACGGGUGAGGAAUACAUCGGAAUCUACUUUUUCGUGGGGGAUAACGUAGGGAAACUUACGCUAAUACCGCAUACGACCUACGGGUGAAAGCAGGGGAUCUUCGGACCUUGCGCGAUUGAAUGAGCCGAUGUCGGAUUAGCUAGUUGGCGGGGUAAAGGCCCACCAAGGCGACGAUCCGUAGCUGGUCUGAGAGGAUGAUCAGCCACACUGGAACUGAGACACGGUCCAGACUCCUACGGGAGGCAGCAGUGGGGAAUAUUGGACAAUGGGCGCAAGCCUGAUCCAGCCAUACCGCGUGGGUGAAGAAGGCCUUCGGGUUGUAAAGCCCUUUUGUUGGGAAAGAAAUCCAGCUGGCUAAUACCCGGUUGGGAUGAGGGUACCCAAAGAAUAAGCACCGGCUAACUUCGUGCCAGCAGCCGCGGUAAUACGAAGGGUGCAAGCGUUACUCGGAAUUACUGGGCGUAAAGCGUGCGUAGGUGGUCGUUUAAGUCCGUUGUGAAAGCCCUGGGCUCAACCUGGGAACUGCAGUGGAUACUGGGCGACUAGAGUGUGGUAGAGGGUAGCGGAAUUCCUGGUGUAGCAGUGAAAUGCGUAGAGAUCAGGAGGAACAUCCAUGGCGAAGGCAGCUACCUGGACCAACACUGACACUGAGGCACGAAAGCGUGGGGAGCAAACAGGAUUAGA